rnacentral:lncRNA from 1 species
GUGAACACCAGCGACUCAUUCUCGAGUCAUAAUUGAAAUGAACAUUCCCCAAGUUUUAGUGUUCUCCCACCAUCACUGACUCAGGAGGAAGUCAUCACCGACUCAGGAGGAAGUCAUCACCGAAGCCAAAGGAUCUCAAAGGCUUGGUCUCUCUCUGACGAGUCCAUUUUUGAUCCUAUUCUGCUGCCCCUUUAUGAGAACACACAACAAUUCUACAGCUAAGCCCAUGCCCAGGAGCACCCGGUGCUCUAAUUCCAGCUUCUUAAGAACUGUACAGCACAUCCACAGUACAAAGCUAUGAGCAAGGAGUCUACUCCAGUGAUCAUCUUCAGAGACAGAAUUCUUACAAAACUAUUUUCUCCCUCUCUAAAAGUUGGUAAGUAAAUUAUAAUAGCAAACGUUUGCUCAUAAAAGACAGCCACACUUGCUGACUUACACACUCCAGGGAUGUCUAGUCAUUUCCUAUAAUUUGGAAGCCAAUCUCUUUCACUCAAGUAAAGUUUCACUUUCCCCUAAUGUUUCACAAUAAAAUGCCAAAGUAAAACAGGAAGAGAAAGAAAAUGCUGAAGAUGUGCUACAGCUUAAUUUGACGGCCUGGUGAUAGCCUUGUGGAGAGGGAGAACUCAGAGCGUGCUGUGUGCACACGAGCGUGCAGGAAUUUAGUCAUCGGACACGUGUUUACUGAGGUGCCGGCUGGUCAGGCUGUGUUAGGCUAUCACAUAAGACAGCCCUGGUUUUCAAAGAGCUAAAGAUUGGCCAGCGAGCCCCAAGGUGACCAAGUGAUUCCAGCACAGAGCCGCAGAAGCCCCUAGUUGGGUGUUUCCACAGGGCAGAGCACAGCAUCAGCCCUUGUAGGUCAUCUCAAAGAACAUGCGAAAGGCAAGAUGCUGGAAAAAUAAAUGUCGAAGGGGAGGGAGUAAAUGGAAGAGAAAACAGCACAUGCAAAGCCACAGGAGCAAGAGCACAUGGCAGGCCUGGUGUUUUACAGAGAAGCUGAGACACGAUUACAUGGAGGACUCCAACAAGAUGCAGAUCACUGUGAAAGGCCCUUGCUGGUCUCCCUGCUUCCUCCCUGCCCGAGUGAAGAGGCUGAGGCUUCGAUGAGACCACUCCAGUGCUGGAGCUCCUACGUGAGUGCCCGUCUCAGAGUCGGCACCAAGUCCUCACAGCAGCUUAGGCAGCUGCGCCCACUGCUCCUGCUCGAGUCCGCAUGUGCACCAGUCCCGGAUGUGUUCAGCAUGCACUCCAGCACAUCUCAGGUCCUCCCCUGCAUGUCCACUGCCCGAGCACCACAGGUCUCCUUACUCACUUUCUGUCCAUCUCCGAGCCCAGCCUGACAGUAAAAAAGGACUCCGUUUUGCUAACUCCUACAUCCCGAUGCCUCACCGAUGCCAGGUUCUCUCCAUGCCAGCCAUACCAGGCAGCAGCCAUCACACAAACCGAGGAGACACGCAGAAAAUUUUGACCAAAUUUACACAUAGCUGAUGAAGCACAGACAGAAAGGCUGAUGGACUUAGCUUGAAUCUUCUACCCCAGUCUUCUAAUCAACAGAUAAAAUAAAAGCAAGGAGCUGAAAGAACCCAAAAAUGUUUCUCCAAAAAUUCUAGGCAUUUUAUUUUUUAAAAUUCAUGUUUUAAAAUGUAUUCCAAGGCAAAAAAAAAAAAAAUCAUGUAAGUUAUAAAUGCAAGUUUUCAAAACAUACAAGACACAAUGUAAAAACAUUUUACAUAUACAACGCCCAAUGUAAUUUCUCAUAUUAAAAAAACAACAGAGAAAAUGCUUAAUAAUGUUCAUCUGCCAGCUACAAAGCAAAAUCCUCCUCUUGACCAGUUCUGGGAGCUGCAAUGAAAGUUGCAGGUGUCUCCUCUUUCUUCAUUUCACCUCAUCUUUCUUCCCAUUUUUCUUUUGAGUUCUUUUUUAAGACAAAGGGUAAUCAAGACUUUGUAAAAGGGUAGUAUUUGUUGUUAUACUCAACAGUCAAGUGGCUUUUAAUUCUAAAAGUCACUUUUAUAUUCUGGGCAAUACACUAAAUACCUAAAUAGUAUAUGAAAAUCAAGUUGUGAUUUGAAUAUUCUAAGGAAAAUAUACAAAAUUUCUUUGUAUAAAAUUAAGAUUCCACUUAUUGUAUUUGCUUAAAUGACAGUAAGUUUAUA